rnacentral:rRNA from 1 species
AACGAACGCUGGCGGCAGGCUUAACACAUGCAAGUCGAGCGCCCCGCAAGGGGAGCGGCAGACGGGUGAGUAACGCGUGGGAAUCUACCCAUCUCUACGGAAUAACGCAUGGAAACGUGUGCUAAUACCGUAUACGUCCUUCGGGAGAAAGAUUUAUCGGAGAUGGAUGAGCCCGCGUUGGAUUAGCUAGUCGGUGGGGUAAAGGCCUACCAAGGCAACGAUCCAAAGCUGGUCUGAGAGGAUGAUCAGCAACACUGGGACGAGGACACGGCCAGAACCCCGACGGGGGGAAGCGUGGGGAAAUUUGGGAAAAGGGGGCCAGGCCUAAUCAAGCCAGGCCGGUUGGGGGAUGAAGGCCUAGGGUUGUAAAGCUCUUUCACCGGUGAAGAUAAUGACGGUAACCGGAGAAGAAGCCCCGGUUAACUUCGUGCCAGCAGCCGCCGUAAUAC